AGUGAACGCUGGCGGUAGGCCUAACACAUGCAAGUCGAACGGCAGCACAGUAAGAGCUUGCUCUUACGGGUGGCGAGUGGCGGACGGGUGAGGAAUACAUCGGAAUCUACUUUUUCGUGGGGGAUAACGUAGGGAAACUUAAGCUAAUACCGCAUACGACCUACGGGUGAAAGCAGGGGAUCUUCGGACCUUGCGCGAUUGAAUGAGCCGAUGUCGGAUUAGCUAGUUGGCGGGGUAGAGGCCCACCAAGGCGACGAUCCGUAGCUGGUCUGAGAGGAUGAUCAGCCACACUGGAACUGAGACACGGUCCAGACUCCUACGGGAGGCAGCAGUGGGGAAUAUUGGACAAUGGGCGCAAGCCUGAUCCAGCCAUACCGCGUGGGUGAAGAAGGCCUUCGGGUUGUAAAGCCCUUUUGUUGGGAAAGAAAAGCAGCAGGUUAAUACCCCGCUGUUCUGACGGUACCCAAAGAAUAAGCACCGGCUAACUUCGUG
rnacentral:rRNA from 1 species